rnacentral:snoRNA from 1 species
UUAUAUGAUGAACCAGAGACUUGUCUCUAUAAUCCCAGCUCUUAGAAGUCUCACAACGCGAGGCAUCAUGUUAAGAAAUCCGAUCUGAUCAA